AUUGUUGUGUAGAAAUAGUGAAUAAAAUAUUUGGUAUUUUCUGUUCUUAUCAGCUUAAUAUCUGAUACGCCCCGCAUGCGGGGCCAGUAUAUUAAACUGAUUUUUGGAAAUUGACAGUGGUUAGGGGCUUGCUCCACCACCGUCGCGGGUUGGCCCGGUAUUGCAGUACCUCCGGGAUCGGCCCACUUCAA